rnacentral:rRNA from 1 species
AUGGUUUGUGUAUAUAUUUUACAGAAACGUGAAAUCAAAGUUGGGGAUAAAGUAGCCGGAAGACAUGGGAAUAAAGGGAUCAUUUCCAAAAUUUUGCCUAGGCAAGAUAUGCCCUAUUUGCAAGAUGGAACACCUGUUGAUAUGGUCUUCAAUCCCUUAGGAGUACCCUCCCGAAUGAAUGUGGGAAACGUGAAAUCAUAA